rnacentral:lncRNA from 1 species
CACACAAUAUCAGCCCAGGGUGGUGGAGGCCCUGCAUUGUUCCAGGUUUAGAAGCAGUUGGCCAAAGCUGAGACUUCAUCUGCUCGAGAGGAAAAGAGGGUUUGCACUGAAGCAAUACAUAAGUAUGAACUCCUUAAUGCAGAUUGACUGUAGUAGUGUACAACCAAACACCCUUAAUUACACAGCUGAAUUGGUGCACGUUCCUUUUUGCCCCAGCAUAAUACUCUUAUUUAACAGUGAAAGCUGAAUACAGCAGAUGUACUGGAUUGAGAGCUUCUCCAUCCCACUCAGCACAGAAGCAAGGCUGGCAGCUCCAACGGCCCUUAGAAACCAAAGCUGGUUGCAGGUUCUCCGUAAGCACAUAAGCCUUUCAGGGGAAAAGAAAAAAAGAGGACAAAAAAAAAAAGGGAAGGGAAAAGGAUUCUUAUGAAGAAGCUAUUUGUGAUACGUAUGUUUUAAUACUGACAUUUUAAA